rnacentral:rRNA from 1 species
GGACGAACGCUGGCGGCGUGCUUAACCCAUGCAAGUCGAACGGAAAGGCCCUGCUUUUGUGGGGUGCUCGAGUGGCGAACGGGUGAGUAACACGUGAGUAACCUGCCCUUGACUUUGGGAUAACUUCCGGAAACUGGGGCUAAUACCGGAUAGGAGCUCCUGCUGCCUGGUGGGGGUUGUAAAGUUUCGGCGGUUGGGGAUGGACUCGCGGCUUAUCAGCUUGUUGGUGGGGUAGUGGCUUACCAAGGCUUUGACGGGUAGCCGGCCUGAGAGGGUGACCGGCCACAUUGGGACUGAGAUACGGCCCAGACUCCUACGGGAGGCAGCAGUGGGGAAUAUUGCACAAUGGGCGGAAGCCUGAUGCAGCAACGCCGCGUGCGGGAUGACGGCCUUCGGGUUGUAAACCGCUUUCGCCUGUGACGAAGCGUGAGUGACGGUAAUGGGUAAAGAAGCACCGGCUAACUACGUG